AUUGAUUUGUUUAAUACUCCAGUCCAGUUGACUUGAUUCUUUUUGACCAAUCACAUUAACCGUCAAUUACAUUAAUGAGGGCUUCACAAAUAGUAUAUAUUUAGGCAAUAAAUCAACUCGUCAAUUACAUCAGGGAGGUCUCCACAAUUGAUAGAUGUGUUUCAACAGCGAAUCAACUCGUUGCAGUCCAACCAUUAUCCUGGUUUGUGUCUUAACGCGUUCAGAACAAAUGCUGAAGAAGAUGAUGAUGCAGUUCAGGUCGAUGUGUCCGAGUGGAUAAGGAGACAGGCUUGAAAAAGAUGACGUCGAGGCUUGAACCCUGCCGUCGACGCCAGGCGAUAAUCCAGACUGGGUACCGGAACACUCCAUCAAAAGCUUAUCAUUUUAUUUCAAUGAGCAAUCUUGUCAAAUGUAAGUUUUUUUUUUCUCCUUUUCCCUUCUUCUUCUGCAAGCAAAUUUUAUGUAAUUAAUGUGCAUAAUCUUUG